GAUGAACGCUGGCGGCGUGCCUAAUACAUGCGAGUCGAGCGAACAGACGAGGAGCUUGCUCCUCUGACGUUAGCGGCGGACGGGUGAGUAACACGUGAUAACCUACCUAUAAGACUGGGAUAACUUCGGGAAACCGGAGCUAAUACCGGAUAAUAUAUUGAACCGCAUGGUUCAAUAGUGAAAGACGGUUUUGCUGUCACUUAUAGAUGGAUCCGCGCCGCAUUAGCUAGUUGGUAAGGUAACGGCUUACCAAGGCAACGAUGCGUAGCCGACCUGAGAGGGUGAUCGGCCACACUGGAACUGAGACACGGUCCAGACUCCUACGGGAGGCAGCAGUAGGGAAUCUUCCGCAAUGGGCGAAAGCUUGACGGAGCAACGCCGCGUGAGUGAUGAAGGUCUUCGGAUCGUAAAACUCUGUUAUUAGGGAAGAACAAAUGUGUAAGUAACUAUGCACGUCUUGACGGUACCUAAUCAGAAAGCCACGGCUAACUACGUG
rnacentral:rRNA from 1 species